rnacentral:rRNA from 1 species
UACGUAGGUCCCGAGCGUUGUCCGGAUUUAUUGGGCGUAAAGCGAGCGCAGGCGGUUCUUUAAGUCUGAAGUUAAAGGCAGUGGCUUAACCAUUGUACGCUUUGGAAACUGGAGGACUUGAGUGCAGAAGGGGAGAGUGGAAUUCCAUGUGUAGCGGUGAAAUGCGUAGAUAUAUGGAGGAACACCGGUGGCGAAAGCGGCUCUCUGGACUGUAACUGACACUGAGGCUCGAAAGCGUGGGUAGCAAACAGG